rnacentral:lncRNA from 1 species
AGUGAUCUUUUGUUCAUUCAAAUAGGAUAGCUCUGGUUCUUUUUGUUGUGUAUAGGCAAUUCUUUCAGCAGUGGGCAAGCUUUCUUGAUGCUUGCUCCCUUGCCAACUAUCCAAAGGAUAGGUCCCUUGUAUCCAUUGUGUGUAUCCACUAGCCAAAUUUUGUUGAUUUACAUGAAAGGAAAUCAUACAGGAGUUAAUUGUACAAAAUAGAAACCGGUCCGCAUGCCUUAUGAUGGUAUACAGUACACAUUCACUAGAGUCAACUGUACAAAUUCAGCAACCGUACCAGCUUUGUUGCAGCCUUAUCUGCUGGUUCCCUCCAAAAUCCCAACUUUAGCACUAUGAAAAAGAAGAUUCCC